AUUGAACGCUGGCGGCAGGCUUAACACAUGCAAGUCGAGCGGAGAUGAGGUGCUUGCACCUUAUCUUAGCGGCGGACGGGUGAGUAAUGCUUAGGAAUCUGCCUAUUAGUGGGGGACAACAUUCCGAAAGGAAUGCUAAUACCGCAUACGCCCUACGGGGAAAGCAGGGGAUCUUCGGACCUUGCGCUAAUAGAUGAGCCUAAGUCGGAUUAGCUAGUUGGUGGGGUAAAGGCCUACCAAGGCGACGAUCUGUAGCGGGUCUGAGAGGAUGAUCCGCCACACUGGGACUGAGACACGGCCCAGAAUCCUACGGGAGGCAGCAGUGGGGAAUAUUGGACAAUGGGCGGAAGCCUGAUCCAGCCAUGCCGCGUGUGUGAAGAAGGCCUUUUGGUUGUAAAGCACUUUAAGCGAGGAGGAGGCUACCUGGAUUAAUACUCUAGGAUAGUGGACGUUACUCGCAGAAUAAGCACCGGCUAACUCUGUGCCAGCCGCCGCCGUAAAAC
rnacentral:rRNA from 1 species